rnacentral:rRNA from 1 species
CGAUGGAGCGACGCCGCGUGGGGGAUGAAUGGCUUCGGCCGUAAACCCCUGUCAUUUGCGACAAAUGGUUCAAUUAACACCUGAACCAUUGAUAGUAGCGAAAGAGGAAGGGACGGCUAACUCUGUGCCAGCAGCCGCGGUAAUACAGAGGUCCCAAGCGUUGUUCGGAUUCACUGGGCGUAAAGGGUGCGUAGGUGGUCAGGUAAGUCGGAUGUGAAAUCUCCGAGCUCAACUCGGAAACUGCAUUGGAAACUACUUGGCUCGAGGGUUGGAGGGGGGACUGGAAUACUUGGUGUAGCAGUGAAAUGCGUAGAUAUCAAGUGGAACACCAGUGGCGAAGGCGAGUCCCUGGACAACUCCUGACACUGAUGCACGAAAGCUAGGGGAGCAAACAGGAUUAGAUACCCUGGUAGUCCUAGCCGUAAACGGUGCACGUUUGCUGUAAAAGGAAUCGACCCCUUUUGUGGCGUAGCCAACGCGUUAAACGUGCCGCCUGGGAAGUACGGUCGCAAGAUUA